GCCAUCAUUCAUUGGGCACUCUAGCGAGACUGCCGGUAAUAAACCGGAGGAAGGUGGGGAUGACGUCAAAUCAUCAUGCCCCUUAUGACCUGGGCUACACACGUGCUACAAUGGUUGGUACAACGAGUUGCGAGUCGGUGACGGCGAGCUAAUCUCUUAAAGCCAAUCUCAGUUCGGAUUGUAGGCUGCAACUCGCCUACAUGAAGUCGGAAUCGCUAGUAAUCGCGGAUCAGCAUGCCCGCGGUCCGAAUACGUUCCGGGCCUU
rnacentral:rRNA from 1 species